rnacentral:lncRNA from 1 species
UCAAUCAUACAACCUCUAAAUAAAGGUCCCAAAAUAAAAUAGGUAUAUGGUGGUGGAUCACAUCACAAUUAUAAUAUUCGAUUAGAAUCCACUCCCCAUUGUCCAUAUGAUUCACAUUUUUCUUCACUUUCAAUACUUCAAUUCUUUAAUUAAACAUUACAAAGCUUUUUAAGUGCUCUUCUGCCGACAAUUUUCCACUCUUUUGGCCCUAUAAAAUCUCUCAACCCUUAUCUUUCAGUCUGUACCAAGAAAUCACCUGAGAACUAUCUCUUUCUUCAUUCCAGUCUCCUGAAGUUCGUCUUAAAACCCUCUUGAUCUUAUCUUUAUUCGGCACGAACGGAUACAAAAAAUAAUCUGAACCUAGCAGUCGAUCGAGACUCUUUCAAGCUAACCUAUCCCAACAGCCACUCCUGUCAGUUUUCGACUAACUCAAUGGCGAAAAAAGUUGAAUAUCCGAGUUGGAUUGAGGUUGCACCACCACUUAUUAUUUCCCCAAAAAAGACCUCCAAUUCUCCUACCCUUGAGACAAUUAUAGAAGAGGAUUCUGCAGAGAACUGUGAAGAUGAUGUGAGUUCAGGAGUAUUGGAACUACUUGAAUUUAUUAGCAGCUUAUAAGUAGCUUUUUCAAUUAAGGGUUCAAUUAAUCAUGUAUUCAACAGGCAGGCUUCAGUAAACAAAUCGAAGUGUACGUUUUGUUAAAUCAGUCCUUAUUAACAUGUAUAUGAGUUCGGAUGGAUGUAUUUCAGUGCUUUGACGAUUUUGUAUCAUAAAUUAAGAGGAAAUUUAGUUUUGUUAUUUUAGGCGAUAUAUAGUCAAAGCAGAAACUGGCCGAUAAACUUCUAUAAAAUAAUUUCACGGAUUCUGGAAGAAUCUUUUAUUAAUUUAAUUAGAGAAUGAGGACUUAGCGUUGAGGUUUACUUUUGAUUAACAUAGGGCUUUUGGUCUUGUGGUUUUUUUUUUUUUUUUUUUUUUUUUUAAUUAAAAUAUGUAAAACUUUGGAGUUUUUCCAAUUCUUUCUACCCAAUUUCGAUAUUAAUUUCUCUGUCCAAUUUUGAUGUUCAUUUUGAGCUAAUGAAUUUGACAAAUCAAGAUCUAAUAUUUGGUAUCAUUGACGAAUGAACGAAUAUUUAAUUUUUAAAUUUGCAACAUUCUCAUCAUAUUCAACACGUUUUGAACUCAUUAUUCAUUCACGUAAAACUUUUCUUGCUGCAUUCCACAAGAAGACAUUCACGGCAACUUUGAUACAUUCAAUGUAUUGUAGUAAACUACUUAUAUUUGAUAAAUAAAUAAAAGACAUUCACG